rnacentral:rRNA from 1 species
GUUGCGGACAGUGUCUGGUGGGUAGUUUGACUGGGGCGGUCUCCUCCUAAAGAGUAACGGAGGAGCACGAAGGUUGGCUAAUCCUGGUCGGACAUCAGGAGGUUAGUGCAAUGGCAUAAGCCAGCUUGACUGCGAGCGUGACGGCGCGAGCAGGUGCGAAAGCAGGUCAUAGUGAUCCGGUGGUUCUGAAUGGAAGGGCCAUCGCUCAACGGAUAAAAGGUACUCCGGGGAUAACAGGCUGAUACCGCCCAAGAGUUCAUAUCGACGGCGGUGUUUGGCACCUCGAUGUCGGCUCAUCACAUCCUGGGGCUGAAGUAGGUCCCAAGGGUAUGGCUGUUCGCCAUUUAAAGUGGUACGCGAGCUGGGUUUAGAACGUCGUGAGACAGUUCGGUCCCUAUCUGCCGUGGGCGCUGGAGAACUGAGGGGGGCUGCUCCUAGUACGAGAGGACCGGAGUGGACGCAUCACUGGUGUUCGGGUUGUCAUGCCAAUGGCACUGCCCGGUAGCUAAAUGCGGAAGAGAUAAGUGCUGAAAGCAUCUAAGCACGAAACUUGCCCCGAGAUGAGUUCUCCCUGAG